UUCCAGCUGACGAGUCCCAAAUAGGACGAAACGCGCGUCCUGGAC
rnacentral:hammerhead_ribozyme from 1 species